rnacentral:tRNA from 5 species
GGGAAAUUAGUGUAGUGGUUAUCAUACUUGCCUUCCAAGCAGGUGACAUGGGUUCGAUUCCCGUAUUUCUCA